AGACCGAUAGCAAACAAGUACCGUGAGGGAAGAUUGAAAAGAACUUUGAAGAGAGAGUUCAAUAGUACGUGAAACUGUGUGGUGGUAAACGGAGGGGUUCUCGAAGUCUCUGCGGGGAACUCAACCUUGGUGCCGGGCGGUCUGGGCGUGUCCGAUCAGCGAUGACGGCGCGUCCUCUCCGGCUCGGCUCUCGGGUGCAUUUCCCCCGCAGUUUACGGCAGGAACCGUUUGGCUCGGACCGAAGGCCUCGGGUGAAGUUGUCGCUUACGGUGGCAGCCCCGGGUGUCCUGGCUCCGCGCCCGACGGGUACGCGAGAGGACUCGUAUAGCGAGCAACGCUCUGUUGCGGUUCUCAUCUCUCUGCCGAGUAGGUCGGCGGCCCCUCCGACCCGUCUUGAAACACGGAC
rnacentral:rRNA from 1 species